rnacentral:lncRNA from 1 species
AUGGAGAGUGUAAGCACCAAGAAGGGAGUGGCAGACACCUCAAGACCACCACGAGUGCAUGAGCAGCUGGGCUGCUCCCAGCUUCCACCCCAGAAUGCCUCUCAUACUCAGUGCCUACACAAUGCUUGCUCGCUCUCUGCCUGGGUUGAGUCAGUGGUUGGAUGGCCCAAAACCCAGCGUCCUGCCGACAUCAGGUACAGCAUGGAGACCUCUUUGAAGAUGGCUCCUGUACUUGAGGCUACCUUCAUGUCAAAACACAUUCAGGCACCAUCAGAUGAUUUCCCUUCUAGGAUGACAGAGCUAUGCAUGGAUUCACUUUGUCCUGUUAGCCUCUUUAAGAACCAGGAAUGUCUGUCUUGACAGAAGCAGAAACGGGGGAGUUUUCAACCCAUCAGUUCAAUCAGUCCUUAAGCAUUUAUCAAGCCCUACUAUGUGCCAGGCACUGCACAGGUCUGCAGUUUAACUGCAAGAUCAACAUGAGUCAGCAGUGUGAUACGGGAGACAAAAAACCCCAAUGCCGUCAUGGGCCACCUGGCAUCACCACGGAGACCAGGAUGCCAGAGAUGGCUGCCCAUGGUGUCCUUCUUGGCCCCUGCCAGGCCCUUGCCUUAGGACUGCUGGAGGGCAAGACAUUGAUUGACAGGCUUACCCUGUCCCAACGUUUUGAUUUGUGGGAAGGAAAAAGAAAAUGAUAAGGAAGCUACAGAAAGGAAGAUAAAGGGAACACCAUAAAUGGAGAAGGUCCACAGCCAUCACCCUCACCAGAUGCUGGAACACAGGUGGUGUGCUGAUGAGAUCCACUUUAGCUGCCGACAAAGAUGGUGAAUCCUCAAUCCCCUCUCCCCUUCCCCUGACUCUUUUGAAAAGGUGUGAGCCUGUUUCCUUGGGGAUGAGGGGCAGAGGUGGAGGCUUGGUUUUCUGUCCUGAAAGCCUGUUUAUCCAUUUUACGUUUAAAGGUUUGCUUUGCAUCUUGUGUUAGCAAUUGUGAUUAAAAGAAUGUAACUGGUGACCCAAAGCCCAUUGGUAUAGGACUCUCUCCUCAUAGUGGAGGUCAAUGCCCUGGGCUUGAGUGAGGGUGAAACAAAGUCAACAAGGUUAGGAGAGAGGAACAGAAAGGGCUCUCUUGGAGCUGUGAAGUCUUGCCAACUCCAACCUGCCCACAGCAGCCCUAGGGCAUUGAUCUCCAGUAAUGGGGAGAGAGUCCCAUAGCAAAGGACUGUGGGACUGGGUUACCAGUGCUUGUAUUGCUAAACUGUGUGCAUUAUUAUUUGAGUGCAACAUAGAGAGAGGUGAUUAUGCAAUGAGAGAGAGAGAGAGAGAGAGAGAGAGAGAGAGAGAGAGAGAGAGAGAGAGAGAGAGA